CCAGCGCUCAGUUCCCACAGCAAAGAACGGGUAGAAAGCUUUUGAGGUGGCUCACCGGGAAGAAGCAAAGGUGUGCCAAGGUUGAAGUUCUCCAGGCUCCAGAGAGCUGUAAAUGUGAUGAGGCCAACGAUAUCAACGCUGCUGACACAGACAUGGGCUGUGAAGCUCCUCAGUGUGCUCCUGAUUUAUAGGUUUCCAACAGGAGCAUGGAAUUUACUAAUAAUUGUGCCUUUGCACUUACAAAGUACUUGUUGGAAUCACCUGAAUAGC